rnacentral:lncRNA from 10 species
UUUUUUUUUUUUUUUUUUUUUUGGUAGAGAUGGGGUCUUUCUGUGUUGCCUAGGCUGAUCGCAAGCUCCUGGGCUCAAGUGAUCCUCCCAUCUUGGCUCCCAGACUGCUAGGAUUACAGGCACGAGACACUGUGCCCAGGCCCAAAUUCUGUACUUCUCCCAGCUAUUGUGAAGCCUCCGACAUGGUCUGUUCUGAUUCUGUCACCUUUCUCUUCCUUCUCAAGCCCCAGUAGGGGCCUUGCCUCUCCAGCGUACCCUGCUUUUGGAGAUCUUGCCUCCAUGUUUCCAUUAUUGAUGGAGGGACCGUGGCAGGACUUUGCUUUCCAAUGUCACUAUUAUGUCAGCAGGCUAGCCCUGAACCCCACACAGUAAGACCCCUUAUGUGAGGGUUUUACACCUACUUGAUCUUAUUCCUCUUUCCAGGUGAGCACCACACACUGACCUAGCUAGGCUCAGGGUAAGGUAGCUCUUGCUCAUUUUGGCCAGGUAUUUAAUUACGUGACAUUCACAGUGUGCCUUUCUACUUAUCUUUUUAUCCUUUUCAGUUCAAGAAACGUGGCUAUACCAACUUGCCACAGUGCCCAUCCCACUUUGUAGAAGACUUUGAUAUCUGACUCACAGAGAAACUCCUGCCAGGAGUUUAUAUUGUGUGCAGCUGAUUCAGGCAGUAACUUCCACUCAGCGAGGGGGUCCAUUUACAAAAAAUUACUUCUCUUCCUUUUAUGCCCAGUAUGGUUCUUAAAAUCAACCAGACCUAUCUUUCACCAGCACGACUUGGUUCUUUUAAACCACAGUAUUUCUGCUUCUUCUAGUUGGAAAACUUUAAUAUGAGAUUGAAGAUAUGAUUUGCUUUCUGGAUUGUUGUAUGCUACUAAAACCGAAGAAAGAGAAGGAAAAAUGGAUGAAUCGACGGACCAUAUCACCCUGGCACCUAUAUCAGCUCAAAAACUGAAGGAAAUACCCCUUUCCUGCCCUCUCUUUGACUAAUGCUAUAGACUCUGAGUCAGUAGUUCCUGGUGGGACCUGAGAGUCCACAUUCCUGAUGAGCUCCAGGUGUUCCCAUGCUGCUGCCCCUCUGACCACACUUAGAAUAAGAAGGCUUGAAAUGAAAUCUGAGAAAUCAGCCUCUUGAUUCCAAUUUUAAACAUGCAAUUGAUUCUUGUAAUUUUUCAUUCUUGUCAAAAUGCAUACCAGUAAGUUUGUAAUCAGUAUUGGCAUGCUUAAAAGAAUUUAAGACUUGUUAUAUUUGUCAUUUUAAUUUAUUUAAACUUUAAAGAUUUGUUCAGAACUUGGAAAGAUUUUGCUUAAGCUCAUAAAUUUACCCACUCAGGCAUAUGAGAUAGGGUACUUUGAUUUAUAAAUGAAGUUUAAAAUUAAGGGAAUUUAAUUAAGUUUUCAAAAUGAGAUUGGUUGUUUUAAGGGGAAUUUACUUUGUGUAACUUGAGUUCAUCAAACGCUAAUCCAAGUUCCCUGCAAAACCUGUUCUGUUUUAUAUAACAUUUACUCGUUUUAGAAAUAGAUGAGAUUUGCAAAUUGAACCUAAAGACUUAAGGCAAAUUAUGUAUCUUUUUAUACUUUAAUAAAGAAAAAUAAAAUAAAUUUGAAACACAAAUAA